GAUGAAGAACGUAGCGAAAUGCGAUAAGUAAUGUGAAUUGCAGAAUUCAGUGAAUCAUCGAAUCUUUGAACGCACAUUGCGCCCGCCAGCAUUCUGGCGGGCAUGCCUGUUCGAGCGUCAUUUCAACCCUCGAGCCCCCCCGGGGGCCUCGGUGUUGGGGGACGGCACACCAGCCGCCCCCGAAAUGCAGUGGCGACCUCGCCGCAGCCUCCACUGCGUAGUAGCACACACCUCGCACCGGAGCGCGGAGACGGUCACGCCGUAAAACGCCCAACUUCUUAGAGUUGACCUCGGAUCAGGUAGGAAUACCCGCUGAACUUAAGCAUAUCAAUAAGCGGAGGA
rnacentral:misc_RNA from 1 species